UCACGUUAGGUGGAAUGGUGACCUUGG
rnacentral:piRNA from 1 species